AUUGAACGCUGGCGGCAUGCCUUACACAUGCAAGUCGAACGACGCCGCGGGGGAAACGUCCGCGGCGAGUGGCGUACGGGUGAGUAAUGCAUCGGAACGUGCCCUUUUGUUGGGGGAGUAACCAGUCGAAAGACUGGCUAAUACCGCAUGAGCUCGAGAGAGGAAAGCAGGGGACCCGCAAGGGCCUUGCGCGAGAGGAGCGGCCGAUGCCCGAUUAGCUAGUUGGUGGGGAAUAGCUCACCAAGGCGACGAUCGGUAGCUGGUCUGAGAGGACGACCAGCCACACUGGGACUGAGACACGGCCCAGACUCCUACGGGAGGCAGCAGUGGGGAAUUUGGACAAUGGGGGCAACCCUGAUCCAGCCAUGCCGCGUGUGUGAAGAAGGCCU
rnacentral:rRNA from 1 species